rnacentral:rRNA from 1 species
CCUACGGGUGGCAGUAGUGAGGAAUAUUGGUCAAUGGGCGUAAGCCUGAACCAGCCAAGUCGCGUGAGGGAUGAAGGUUCUAUGGAUCGUAAACCUCUUUUAUAAGGGAAUACAGUGUGGGACGUGUCCUGUUUUGUAUGUACCUUAUGACUAAUGAUCGGCUAACUCCGUGCCAGCAGCCGCGGUAAUACGGAGGAUCCGAGCGUUAUCCGGAUUUAUUGGGUUUAAAGGGUGCGUAGGCGGCCUUUUAAGUCAGCGGUGAAAGUCUGUGGCUCAACCAUAGAAUUGCCGUUGAAACUGGGAGGCUUGAGUAUGUGUGAGGCAGGCGGAAUGCGUGGUGUAGCGGUGAAAUGCUUAGAUAUCACGCAGAACCCCGAUUGCGAAGGCAGCAUGCCGGCUUCCGACUGACGCUGAAGCACGAAAGCGUGGGGAUCGAACAGGAUUAGAUACCCUGGUAGUC